CCUACGGGAGGCUGCAGUGGGGAAUAUUGGACAAUGGGGGCAACCCUGAUCCAGCAAUGCCGCGUGUGUGAUGAAGGCCUUCGGGUUGUAAAGCUCUUUCGGCGGGGACGAUGAUGACGGUACCCGCAGAAGAAGCCCCGGCUAACUUCGUGCCAGCAGCCGCGGUAAUACGAAGGGGGCUAGCGUUGUUCGGAAUGACUGGGCGUAAAGGGCGCGUAGGCGGCCCACGUAGUCAGGCGUGAAAUUCCUGGGCUUAACCUGGGGGCUGCGUUUGAUACGUGUGAGCUAGAGGUCGGAAGAGGCUCGUGGAAUUCCCAGUGUAGAGGUGAAAUUCGUAGAUAUUGGGAAGAACACCGGUGGCGAAGGCGGCCAUCUGGACCGAUACUGACGCUGAGGCGCGAAAGCGUGGGGAGCAAACAGGAUUAGAUACCCUUGUAGUC
rnacentral:rRNA from 1 species